AAUAGAUACCCUGGUAGUUCACGCCGUAAACGAUGAGUGCUAAGUGUUGGGGGUUUCCGCCCCUCAGUGCUGCAGCUAACGCAUUAAGCACUCCGCCUGGGGAGUACGGUCGCAAGACUGAAACUCAAAGGAAUUGACGGGGGCCCGCACAAGCGGUGGAGCAUGUGGUUUAAUUCGAAGCAACGCGAAGAACCUUACCAGGUCUUGACAUCCCGGUGACCACUAUGGAGACAUAGUUUCCCCUUCGGGGGCAACGGUGACAGGUGGUGCAUGGUUGUCGUCAGCUCGUGUCGUGAGAUGUUGGGUUAAGUCCCGCAACGAGCGCAACCCUUAUUCUUAGUUGCCAUCAUUCAGUUGGGCACUCUAAGGAGACUGCCGGUGAUAAACCGGAGGAAGGUGGGGAUGACGUCAAAUCAUCAUGCCCCUUAUGACCUGGGCUACACACGUGCUACAAUGGACGGUACAAACGGUUGCCAACCCGCGAGGGGGAGCUAAUCCGAUAAAACCGUUCUCAGUUCGGAUUGUAGGCUGCAACUCGCCUAC
rnacentral:rRNA from 1 species